GACAUAGGUGGCAAACGUUAUCCGGAAUUAUUGGGCGUAAAGGGUGUGUAGACGGUCUGAUAAGUUAAUAGUGGGAAAUCAAGGCUCAACCUCGUGGAAGUUAUUAAUACUGUCAGACUUGAGUAUAGGAGAGGUUAACGGAACUCCCUGUGGAGCGGUAAAAUGCGUAGAUAUAGGGAAGAACAUCAUUAACGGCGAAGGCGGUUAACUAUUCUAUUACUGACGUUGAGACACGAAAGCAUGGGGAGCAAAACGG
rnacentral:rRNA from 1 species